rnacentral:rRNA from 1 species
UGACUGUACAAAGGUAGCAUAAUCAAUAGUCUCUUAAUUGGUGACUUGAAUGAAAGAUUGGAUGAAAUAUAUACUGUCUCUUUAAUAAUAAUAGAAUUUAAUUUUUUAAUUAAAAAGUUAAAAUAAAUUUAAAAGACGAGAAGACCCCAUAGAGUUUUAUAUAUUUGUUAAUUAAUAUUAUUUAUAAAUUAAUAAAAUUAAAAUUAAUUUGAUAUAUUAUAUUGGGGUGAUAAAAAAAUUUAUUUAACUUUUUUUUUUAAAUUAACAUAAAUAAGUGACUAAUAAUGAUCCAAAAUUUUUGAUUAUAAGAUAAAAUUACCUUGGGGAUAACAGCGUAAUUUUUUUUUUAGUUCGAAUAAAAAAAAAAGUUUGCGACCUCGAUGUUGGAUUAAGAUAAAAUUUAAAUGCAAAAGUUUAAAAUUUUGAUCUGUUCGAUCAUUAAAAUCUU